GACGAACGCUGGCGGCGUGCUUAACACAUGCAAGUCGAACGGAAAGGCCCUGCUUUUGUGGGGUGCUCGAGUGGCGAACGGGUGAGUAACACGUGAGUAACCUGCCCUUGACUUUGGGAUAACUUCAGGAAACUGGGGCUAAUACCGGAUAGGAGCUCCUGCUGCAUGGUGGGGGUUGGAAAGUUUCGGCGGUUGGGGAUGGACUCGCGGCUUAUCAGCUUGUUGGUGGGGUAGUGGCUUACCAAGGCUUUGACGGGUAGCCGGCCUGAGAGGGUGACCGGCCACAUUGGGACUGGGAUACGGCCCAGACUCCUACGGGAGGCAGGCGUGGGGAAUAUUGCACAAUGGGCGGAAGCCCGAUGGAGCCACGCCGGGUGCGGGAUGACGGCCCUCGGGUUGUAAACCGCUUUCGGCUGUGACGAAGCGUGAGUGACGGUAAUGGGUAAAGAAGCACCGGCUAACUACGUG
rnacentral:rRNA from 1 species